UACAGAGGGGGCAAGCGCUGUUCGGAAUUACUGGGCGUAAAGGGCGCGUAGGCGGCCUGUUAAGUCGAACGUGAAAUCCCCGGGCUCAACCCGGGAACUGCGUCCGAUACUGGCAGGCUUGAAUCCGGGAGAGGGAUGCGGAAUUCCAGGUGUAGCGGUGAAAUGCGUAGAUAUCUGGAGGAACACCGGUGGCGAAGGCGGCAUCCUGGACCGGUAUUGACGCUGAGGCGCGAAAGCCAGGGGAGCAAACGGG
rnacentral:rRNA from 1 species